GGGGCCGACCGGUUUUGACAGGAUGUGUGAUUACGUGGGUAAGCAUGCAGGCUCAUGGGAUGAGAGCCUUGAAAGAUAGUUCCACAACACAAUUGGCGAAUCUAAUUACGCCAUGGCUGCCUAAUUUUAACAAUUGUUAAAAUAGCAGGCUUAAACGGUUGAAUCGCCAGACGCGAUUCCCGGGCCACACUCUGCUGACCGUGGUUAUGUCCGGUUAGAUUUGGAGUGUCGAACAGACUUAACUAGCGCUGACAGGGUUGUGAUGUUGGUGCGAAACUUAAUCGCAACUAAGGUAAAGUUCGGUGGUUGUCUACCUCGCUUUGCUCGAAAAUCCAAAGACAACUAAGCAUGUAGAAGACACGAUAGUUGCCUUCACUGGACGAGGGUUCGAAUCCCUCCGGCUCCACCA
rnacentral:tmRNA from 1 species